rnacentral:rRNA from 1 species
GUAGUCUCGCACAGAUGCAUAUCAAUAAGCGGAGGAAAAGAAACUAACAAGGAUUCCCCUAGUAACGGCGAGUGAAGCGGGAAGAGCUCAAAUUUGAAAUCUUAAAGGGUUUCCCUUUACGAAUUGUAGUUUAAAGAAGUGUUUUCUGUUGAGGUUUUGGUAAAAGUUCUUUGGAAUAGGACAUCAUAGAGGGUGAGAAUCCCGUAUUUGACCUUUACUUUCAACUUUGUGAUACACUUUCAAAGAGUCGGAUUGUUUGGGAAUGCAGUCCAAAAUGGGUGGUAAAUUUCAUCUAAAGCUAAAUAUUGGCGAGAGACCGAUAGCGAACAAGUACCGUGAGGGAAAGAUGAAAAGAACUUUGAAAAGAGAGUUAGACAGUACGUGAAAUUGUCAAAAGGGAAGCGUUUGACACCAGUGUUGUUUUUCUGAAAAUCAAUUAAAGAACUGUUUAUGCUAAGUUGUUUAGACUUUAUCAGCUAACUGUUUAGUUUUGAGCUUUUCUUUAAUGCACUUUUCAGUUAACAAGUCAACAUCAAUUUCUUUUGCUGUAAAAAAGCUUGAGGAAGGUGGCUUGAGAUUCGUCUUAAGUGUUUAUAGCCUCUUGCCUAUGCAGUCGGAGAGAUUGAGGUCUGCAGCGUAGAUCCUUCGGGGCUAAAUGCAUUUGUGCUAAGUUAUAGCAUUUUAUAGACAACUUGUUGACUAUGAUUUGUCUUGUAGCUUACUCGCUUAUGUUAUUUUACCUACGCUUAGGAUGUUGAGCGCAUGUCUCUCUCU